rnacentral:lncRNA from 1 species
AAGGGGAGGGAUGACCAAUUUAAAUAUGAAAGUUGUCUCUACUCCUCCAAGUUAUAUGUGCUUGCUGGGCUGAGUGAAGAGCAUAGGCAUGUGGCACUUGUGUGGAUGGUCCACUGAAAUCCAACCCCUUGCCCUGCGGGGGUGCAGCUUCCUUUUGCCGUUUUAUUUUUUGGUUACUUGGUCCUUAAGUCAGUGAGAUAUAUGGAAUCCUAAUCGGUUUAGAUCACGAUCGCGAUGUGAGAAUCGUGGGAUCUCCUAUAUAUGCGAUCUACCG